AUACGGAGGGUGCAAGCGUUGUUCGGAAUCACUGGGCGUAAAGGGCGCGCAGGCGGUUUGGUAAGUCAGAUGUGAAAGCCCACGGCUCAACCGUGGAAGUGCAUUUGAAACUGCCAGACUUGAGUACCAGAGGGGAAAGCGGAAUUCCCGGUGUAGAGGUGAAAUUCGUAGAUAUCGGGAGGAAUACCGGUGGCGAAGGCGACUUUCUGGCUGGAUACUGACGCUGAGGCGCGAAAGCGUGGGGAGCAAACAGGAUUAGAAACCCUAGUAGUCC
rnacentral:rRNA from 1 species